GGAGUUUUGAUAGUACUGUUGGU
rnacentral:siRNA from 1 species